rnacentral:rRNA from 1 species
CCUACGGGUGGCAGCAGUGAGGAAUAUUGGUCAAUGGGCACGAGCCUGAACCAGCCAAGUCGCGUGAGGGAAGACGGUCCUAUGGAUUGUAAACCUCUUUUGUCGGGGAGCAAAAGACGCCACGUGUGGCGUUCCGAGAGUACCCGAAGAAAAAGCAUCGGCUAACUCCGUGCCAGCAGCCGCGGUAAUACGGAGGAUGCGAGGGUUAUCCGGAUUUAUUGGGUUUAAGGGGUGCGCAGGCGGAAGAUCAAGUCAGCGGUAAAAUUGAGAGGCUCAACCUCUUCGAGCCGUUGAAACUGGUGUUCUUGAGUGAGCGAGAAGUAUGCGGAAUGCGUGGUGUAGCGGUGAAAUGCAUAGAUAUCACGCAGAACUCCGAUUGUGAAGGCAGCAUACCGGCGCUCAACUGACGCUCAUGCACGAAAGCGUGGGUAUCGAACAGGAUUAGAUACCCCUGUAGUC